rnacentral:rRNA from 1 species
CCUACGGGAUGCAGCAGUGAGGAAUAUUGGUCAAUGGACGAGAGUCUGAACCAGCCAAGUAGCGUGAAGGAUGACUGCCCUAUGGGUUGUAAACUUCUUUUAUAUGGGAAUAAAAUGUUCCACGUGUGGGAUUUUGUAUGUACCAUAUGAAUAAGGAUCGGCUAACUCCGUUACCGCCGCCGCGGUAAUACGGAGGAUCCGAGCAUUAGCCGGAUUUGUUGGGUUUAAAGGGGGCGUAGGUGGAUGUGUAAUUCAGUUGUGAAAGUUUGCGGCUCAACCGUAGAAGUGCAGUUGAAACUGGCAGUCUUGAGUACAGUAGAGGUGGGCGGAAUGCGUGGUGUAGCGGUGAAAUGCUUAGAGAUCACGAAGAACUCCGAUUGCGAAGGCAGCUCACUGGACUGCAACUGACACUGAGGCUCGAAAGUGUGGGUAUCAAACAGGAUUAGAUACCCCUGUAGUC